rnacentral:rRNA from 2 species
ACGGAGGCAGCAGUGGGGAAUAUUGCACAAUGGGGGAAACCCUGAUGCAGCGACGCCGCGUGAGUGAAGAAGUAUUUCGGUAUGUAAAGCUCUAUCAGCAGGGAAGAAAAUGACGGUACCUGACUAAGAAGCCCCGGCUAACUACGUGCCAGCAGCCGCGGUAAUACGUAGGGGGCAAGCGUUAUCCGGAUUUACUGGGUGUAAAGGGAGCGUAGACGGCGAUGCAAGUCUGAUGUGAAAGCCCGGGGCUCAACCCCGGCACUGCAUUGGAAACUGUGUUGCUAGAGUGCAGGAGAGGUAAGUGGAAUUCCUAGUGUAGCGGUGAAAUGCGUAGAUAUUAGGAGGAACACCAGAGGCGAAGGCGGCUUACUGGACUGUAACUGACGUUGAGGCUCGAAAGCGUGGGGAGCAAACAGGAUUAGAUACCCUGGUA